AUUAUUUUUUAACAAUCAACAUUUUCGUUGAACAUUCUGUAAUAUUAAUCAAUUAUUCUAUUAGAAAUUAGUUUCUCAGUAUCUGAGAAAUUAUAUAGAAAAGUGGUACCAGAAAAAUUGAGAAAAUGCGGGUGAAAAGUGAAGCUAGAAAAAUGUGCCAUUCUCAAAUUUUUGCAUAAUUAGUUUACUAUAUGUUUAUAAUGACAAUCUUAUGUGUAUUUAUGCAAAAUUAUUUAUAAAAAAGUUCGACAGAGACUACUUCUCUUAAAAAAACAUAUGCUUCUCAUAAUAGUUUAAUAUAUAUUUUAUGAUAAGAAUCUUACCUUUAUUUUCAAUACAUUGCAUGUUUAAUUUCAUUUAAAUUAUGUUUUCACAUUACUAACCAAACGCUUGAAAUGAAAACUAAGUUUUCAUUAAAUAAAAAUAAAAUAAAAAAAUCCCAAACAACAGUUUCCUUAAAAUUUUACCAUGAAUCAAGUUUCACUAUUGCAUUUCAUUCAGACAUUUUAACAGGGCUCUAAUGGGUUGCACGGGACCGGGACGCGAAGCCUGAAUAACCGACUGCCUCAUCGCCGCCGCCGAGCUUCGAAACGUUAAUGGAGGUAAGAAAGAUGCAGGCAUGAAAAUGCAAGCUUGCGAGUGGAACUUGGUGGUGCUUUGAAGGUGUUCGAUGAAAUGCCCGAAGAGGGUCGCUCUUGGUGUUGUUAACAUGGUCUUUUUUGGAUUAUCCAAAUGUGCUGACUUACAAUGUUCUGAUUAAUGGGUUCUGCACAUGUGGGAAGUUACAAUGAGAGUUUGGAAAUUUGUUUCUUGUUGUAUCUUGAUUCCUGGGUUUCGCGAAGGACACAAUCUACAUUUUUGGGAAAGAAGCAAUAAAGGCUGCUCUCCUGCUGUUGGCCGAGUCUCCUACAGUGAGGCUUGUGAGAGUUUGUUUAGGUUUAUGCGAAGUAGAAAGAUACAGUGAAGCAUAUGAUUCUGCCAUCUGUAAGGGAAAACCUGGAGAAGGUUGCAAGCCAGAUAUGAUCACAUAGCUUACUGAUAAAUGGCCUUUGUCAAGAUAUUAGAAUUGACAUGGCUAUCAAUUUGGGGCAGCAAGUGAUUUACAAGAUUUUAAUCCUGAUUUGAUGAUGCAGUAUAAUUCAUGGGCUUCACUUGGCAGGCAAAGUUCAGACCGGGGAGUUGGAUUGUGUUCCAAAUCUUGUGUCCCAUUACGCCCUGAUGGAGAGCUUCUUCAAGGCCAGAGAUUGCGGUAAGGCAUCAGAGACAUAGGCCUGCUCUUUAGAAUUCGAGCUACACCCGGAAACCAUUUCAUAUAAUAUUACUCUCAAAGGGCUUUGCUCGUGCUGUAGAACGUCAGAUGCCCAUUGGGUUUUUGGAUGACGCUUUGGAUUUAGUAAUUCUACCGUUUGCCAUAACAUGGUACAUACUUGUUGCAGCGGUACUCAACAAUGGGCCAAUGGGAUCUCAAGUCUUUUCCUGUUCUUUUGGCUUUAAAUUUGUUGCUUCUGGAGUUAUGUAAUCAGAAAAGCUGACUGACUAUCAUAAUAUGGAGUUAUGUAAUCAGAAAAGCUGACUGACUAUCAUAAUAUUCCUUAUAGUCUCUAUAGCUUGUUUAAGAUGCUUCAUACUUCAGAGCUUUGCACAUUCUUGUACAGUUGCUUCUAAUAAUUUCAGCUAGCGGUGAGAUGCUUGGAUUAUCAGUUCAAA